rnacentral:rRNA from 1 species
AGCGAACGCUGGCGGCAGGCUUAACACAUGCAAGUCGAGCGGGCGUAGCAAUACGUCAGCGGCAGACGGGUGAGUAACGCGUGGGAACGUACCUUUUGGUUCGGAACAACACAGGGAAACUUGUGCUAAUACCGGAUAAGCCCUUACGGGGAAAGAUUUAUCGCCGAAAGAUCGGCCCGCGUCUGAUUAGCUAGUUGGUGAGGUAACGGCUCACCAAGGCGACGAUCAGUAGCUGGUCUGAGAGGAUGAUCAGCCACACUGGGACUGAGACACGGCCCCAACUCCUACGGGAGGCAGCAGUGGGGAAUAUUGGACAAUGGGGGCAACCCUGAUCCAGCCAUGCCGCGUGAGUGAUGAAGGCCCUAGGGUUGUAAAGCUCUUUUGUGCGGGAAGAUAAUGACGUUACCGCAAGAAUAAGCCCCGGCUAACUUCGUG